AAGAGGUUUACAUUAUUGCCAAUUAGGGCUUAAUUGUUAUCCAUAACUCAAACAUUUGUGGCUGUUUACGGAGAAAAGCCAUCAUUCUCUUUUUACCACCAUGACUUCCACUACCCUUAGACCCCUGCAACAUGAGUGGAGAAAUUUCUUUUCCUUAAGAUGGAGCUGGCUGAGAAUGUCAUACUCUCUUCCGCUAUUAGUUUCCAGAUGUGGCUGAAGGCAAACAGUAAUUGCCCGGUUUAAUGGAAGAUGGUUAAGCCUGUGUUGGACAUCUGCUGUCUUUGCCGCCCUAGUCUGCAUUUCCCAGUAUUCUGCCAGCAGAAACGUGAAUUUCAGAAAACUAUCCUUCCAAGAUUGUUGCCAUUGCUGUGAAGUGUUUCCACCUGCUCUGGGGCCAUGGAAGAGAAAACUUCCAAGUAUCUUUAUGUUAACUGAUUUUUCCAGUGGACCACAAUUCACAGAAAAACCUGCUUAUGGGCCAAGCCUGGAGAACAAUCAAUGGGACAAGGAGGAGAAAACUUACCUCUAUUUAAUCAGCUCCACGUUUCUGACAAAUGUGAAGAGCAACUGUGAAUACAGCUCGGCUGCUUAAUUCCAGACUGUUUUAUGUUGGAGCAUCACUCUUCUCUCCAAAACUUUGUCAAGAUCGUUUUACCAAGAGCACUUGCUGGAAAGCCUUUUUGGAGAAAAAGGCAAAUAACGUAUUCUGUGAGGCAGUAAAGCAGCCACUUAGAGACACAGUACUUUGAUUAUACUCUUUGAAAGACAGAGAGAAUUAGAUUUUAACAACUAUUCCAAAUCUCUCACCUAAGGGGUAGAAUUAUAAAAGAGCUCCGCAUCACCCUUGUUAUUACUACAUAUUUGGACAAGGGAAAAAUUCAAAAUAAAGUUAUUUAUAAAAAAUGCUCAUUUUUUCAUAAGGCUGUGCAAUAUGUGAUUUGUUAGCACAAAUUGGAGUGUGGAGGGCAUGUGUGUUGAAUUUGGCCUGAGGGAUCCUCCUAAUGGUUUAGGCAACAGAUGAGUGUCCCUACAUUCACUAGUUUCCUUAAAUAAACCACGGAAGCUUUAGAGGAAAGGUUUCUUUUAUUUUUUCUUUCCAAUUUGUAUUUUAGGGUCAGGGGUUCUUGU
rnacentral:lncRNA from 10 species